AUCAGAAGAGAUAAGAUAAUCACAGCCAAGAUCCAGAAGAACUGUGACUCUGCUGUGGAACAGGAAGUGAAGACACACAGAGAGGCUUCAGGUUCCAUCUCACCUGAAAACGCACCUGAAUCUUCAGACAGGUCCAGAAGGAGAAACAUCCCAAAGAAAUGUUGCAUUUUGCAGUGAAAAUCAGAUCAGAGCGUAUUCCAAAACAGCAAAAGCCGCUUUCACACCAAGUACUUUGCCGUACUUAGUUCCCAGCACUUAGUACCCCCAUGGAACUAAGAGCAGAUC